UAUGAACGUUGGCGGCGUGCUUAACACAUGCAAGUCGAACGAAGCACUUUAUUUGAUUUCCUUCGGGACUGAUUAUUUUGUGACUGAGUGGCGGACGGGUGAGUAACGCGUGGGUAACCUGCCUUGUACAGGGGGAUAACAGUUGGAAACGGCUGCUAAUACCGCAUAAGCGCACAGCAUCGCAUGAUGCAGUGUGAAAAACUCCGGUGGUAUAAGAUGGACCCGCGUUGGAUUAGCUAGUUGGUGAGGUAACGGCCCACCAAGGCGACGAUCCAUAGCCGACCUGAGAGUGUGACCGGCCACAUUGGGACUGAGACACGGCCCAAACUCCUACGGGAGGCAGCAGUGGGGAAUAUUGCACAAUGGGCGAAAGCCUGAUGCAGCGACGCCGCGUGAGCGAAGAAGUAUUUCGGUAUGUAAAGCUCUAUCAGCAGGGAAGAUAAUGACGGUACCUGACUAAGAAGCACCGGCUAAAUACGUG
rnacentral:rRNA from 1 species